AGAGAUUUCCAUGUGAGAGAUAUUUUUGAGGAAUACAUUCAGGAACAAUACCUCUGAGGGCAUACGGUCAGAAGGUCUGGACAGAGAAGUGAUUCAUCUGUUUGUGUCCUGAAGGUAUUUCAAGCUUGGUGAAUGCCUGUUAAAAUGUGCUGGAAGGAUUGAAUGCCAUAACACGUUGGAGGCCCGAGGCACCUGGAAUGUGCCUCCCACGUUAGAUGCUUAAUAAACAACGAGACCCACCUGCACCUCUAAAGUCGCUCGGGCAUCUGGAAUGGCUUACUAAGGAAGAGGAAGCCACAGCUCCAUGGCAACAUCUAAUCAAGGCAUUUAUAGACUCUCAGUUGGCAAACAGUUCAGAUACAUCCCAGUCCUUCCUGGUGUGAAUAAGAUGCUUUGGUCCUGAUACCAGUCACCAGAGUACUACGGACGGGUGCAGUGAUGGCCGCUCACAGAUCUCCUGUCUCCACGUUGAUGAAA